rnacentral:rRNA from 1 species
GUUCGGUUAAGUCCUGCAACGAGCGCAACCCUCCGUGGCUAGUUGAAUUUCUCUAGCCAGACCGCCCGCAAACGGGAGGAAGGUGGGGAUGACGUCAAGUCAGCAUGGCCCUUAUACCCUGGGCUACACACACGCUACAAUGGGUGGUACAAUUGGUUGCGACAGAGCGAUCUGGAGCUAAUCUAUAAAGCCAUCCUCAGUUCGGAUUGCAGGCUGCAACUCGACUCCAUGAAGUCGGAAUCGCUAGUAAUCGCGGAUCAGCACGCCGCGGUGAAUACGUUCCCGGGCCUU